UACAUAGGGGUCAAGCGUUGUCCGGAUUUAUUGGGCGUAAAGAGUAUGUAGGCGGCUAUUUAAGUCAGACGUGUAAGCCCACGGCUCAACCGUGGAAUUGCGUUUGAAACUAUUUAGCUUGAGUGCAGGAGAGGAAGGCGGAAUUCCCAGUGUAGCGGUGAAAUGCAUUGAUAUUGGGAAGAACACCGGUGGCGAAGGCGGCCUUCUGGUCUGACACUGACGCUGAGAUACGAAAGCCAGGGGAGCGAACGGG
rnacentral:rRNA from 1 species